rnacentral:rRNA from 1 species
CCUACGGGAGGCUGCAGUGGGGAAUAUUGGACAAUGGGGGGAACCCUGAUCCAGCCAUGCCGCGUGUGUGAAGAAGGCCCUCGGGUUGUAAAGCACUUUCAGUGAGGAAGAACGCCUGGUGGUUAAUACCCAUCAGGAAAGACAUCACUCACAGAAGAAGCACCGGCUAACUCCGUGCCAGCAGCCGCGGUAAUACGGAGGGUGCGAGCGUUAAUCGGAAUUACUGGGCGUAAAGCGCGCGUAGGUGGCUUGAUAAGCCGGUUGUGAAAGCCCCGGGCUCAACCUGGGAACGGCAUCCGGAACUGUCAAGCUAGAGUGCAGGAGAGGAAGGUAGAAUUCCCGGUGUAGCGGUGAAAUGCGUAGAGAUCGGGAGGAAUACCAGUGGCGAAGGCGGCCUUCUGGACUGACAAUGACACUGAGGUGCGAAAGCGUGGGUAGCAAACAGGAUUAGAUACCCCGGUAGUC